rnacentral:rRNA from 1 species
GACGAACGCUGGCGGCGUGCCUAACACAUGCAAGUCGAACGGGGAGUUACUUGUAACUCCUAGUGGCGAACGGGUGAGUAACGCGUAGACAACCUGCCUCUAAAUUGGGGACAACACCGCGAAAGUGGUGCCAAUACCGAAUGUGGUAACUUGAUCGCAUGAUCGAGUUAAGAAAGAUGGCCUCUAUUUAUAAGCUAUCGAUUAGAGAUGGGUCUGCGUCUGAUUAGCUAGUUGGUGAGGUAAUGGCCCACCAAGGCGACGAUCAGUAGCCGGUCGGGGAGGAUGAACGGCCACCCUGGGACUGGGACACGGCCCAGGCUCCUACGGGAGGCAGCAGUGGGGAAUCUUCCGCAAUGGACGAAAGUCUGACGGAGCAACGCCGCGUGAGUGAAGGAGGUCUUCGGAUUGUAAAGCUCUGUCGUUUGGGACGAACGUGCUUUGUGUGAAUAAUGCAGAGUAAUGACGGUACCAAAGGAGGAAGCCACGGCUAACUACGCGCCAGCCGCCGCAGUAA